AGAGAACCAGGAGCAGGGCUCUGGACAUCGUGCUGCUCCGCGAUGCUGCUGAUGCUGCUGACGCUCUCAUGGCUUCCAUGGCUUCCGUCGGGAGGUGCCUUAUCUCUGGCCCAGGAACACCUCCCGGCCCUCCCAAGACCCUCAGACAUGCACUCCAGUGCGAAUGUCUCCAGAUUCCUGGAGCUGCGAAAACGCUAUGAAGAUUUGCUGACCAGACUUCGAGCAAACCAUAGCUGGGAAGACUCGGACCCUGACCUCAUCCCUGCCUCUCGAGUCCAGAUACUAACCCCAAAGCUGAGACUUGGGCCAGGCGGCUACCUGCACCUGUACAUCCCCAGGGCCAACCUGACUAGGGGGCUCCCUACAGCCUCCCGCCUACAUCGGGCCCUGCUCAAGCACGAGUCGAGCUCGUGGGACAUUACACGGCCGUUGCAGCGUCAGCUUGGCCUCGGAGUCUCCCGGGCGCCCCGACUCCGCCUGCAGCGGAUGCCGCGGUCUGACCGGUUGCUGGCUGCAUCACGUUCUGCAAACCUCCAGCUAGAGUUGCACUGGUUGCCACGCGCCGGCAGGGAGCGCCGAAGCGCGCAUGCGCGCACUCGAGAUGCCUGCCCGCUCGGAGAGGGGCGCUGCUGCCACCUGCAGAGCUUGCGCGUAUCGCUCAAGGACUUGGGCUGGGCGGACUGGGUGAUAGCGCCUCAAGAGCUGGACGUGCGCAUGUGCAGCGGCGCGUGCCCAAGCCAGUUCCGGUCCGCUAACAUGCAUGCGCAGAUGCUGAUGCGCCUGCACCGUCUGAAGCCUGACGCCGUACGUGCGCCGUGCUGCGUCCCCUCCAGCUACCAGCCGGUGGUACUCAUGCACCGGGAUAGCGAGGGCCGUGUGUCGCUCACGCCGUAUGACGACCUCGUGGCCAAGGACUGCCACUGCGUAUGAGAGGCCCUUCGCCCUCACUAACGACACAUGCGCAGUAGCUGGAGACCUUGAGAAAAGCUCACCCCUCCCUGGCCUCAGUUCCCACAGGAGACCUGCUACAGGGGUGCGUGGAAGGAUUCUGGGAAUGGUCGACUGGGCGUUGUUGGAGUUGACAGGCCAGCAGUCUAGUCAUCCCUGCAGUUUUUAUUGAGCACCGUCUGCACACCAACAGGAAGGUGACAACAGACUUCACACCUUGAACUUCCUGUGUCUGUGUUGGAGUCUCUCCUCUUCCUCUGCCAGCAGCCAAAGAAGCUGAAGAACAGAGCAGGAGGCUGAGGAGGGGGCUGCAAGGACAGUCCUUCCCUGUUCCCACUCCUCAGACUGUGAGACUGAGGCCAAGGGAG